rnacentral:misc_RNA from 1 species
GAACCUCACCAAGGGACGAACACACCUCUGCUCGUGGGUAUAUUACGGCGCCCACACCUCGCCUGGCCAAGUCUCCUGCAGGCAGCCAUGGGUAAACAAAGUGGCCUCGUCUCCUGUCUAGCGCUCCUCCUAGCAGUAACACCUGCAGGAGUGAGUGCCGAGCGGUGUGCCGUCAUCACCUUCGAUCACGAGUGGGAUGGAAACUACGCUGCAAACUUUACGUCUCAGUCUGAGAUUCCCUUCAAAGGCCUCGAUGCCUUGUUCACGUUUGACCACCCUGUCAAGUCAGUUUCCAAUUGGGGUGGCUCCGCCGAGGUGAUAGACGACAUACAUGUCAGAAUGUACAACGACAAUCUCUUCGUGGAAACUGGCGCCUACUGCACGUUUGGGUUUCAAGUAUCGUACUCCGGCGACACCCGACCAGAAGUCAUCGCCAUUGACAUGAACGGCCAGGAUGCCUGUGACGGAACAUUGUCAUGGACCACAACAGAACCAUACAUCAACCCAUGCGAGGAAACUGGAAUGGCACCCUAUGAUUACCCUCAGGCGCUAUGCAUGUCUUUCCUGUUCUACGAGGCGCAGCGUUCUGGAGUCCUGCCCCCUGACCAGCGUGUCAAGCCCUGGAGGUGGGACUCUGCCCUAAACGACGGUGUCGACGUGGGCCACGAUCUGACUGGAGGCUACUACGACGCUGGUGACCAUGUCAAGUUCGGUUUCCCGAUGGCUGUGACUACCACUGUGCUGGCGUGGGGACUCAUCGACUUCCCUAUGGGAUACGAACAAGCAGGUCAGACGGAGUACGCCAGAGCGGCGGUGAAGUGGGCUACAGAUUAUUUCCUCAAGGCACACACUGCCGAGUAUGAACUUUAUGGACAGGUGGGGAAGGGAUCAGAUGACCACGCCUUCUGGGGACGUCCCGAGGAUAUGUACAUGAAAAGACCAGCCUAUAAAAUUAACAGAGAAAAUCCAGGAACGGAGUUGGCCUGCGAGACUGCCGCCGCCCUCGCAGCAGCUUCCAUAGUAUUCGAGGGAAUCGAUGACGAGUAUUCCGCCAAGCUGCGAGAAGUGGCCAAGGAACUGUAUGCCUUUGGAGAUGAGCACCGCCUCGAGUAUCACCUCUCCAUCACCGACGCAGAGGCAUUCUAUAGGUCCUGGAGCGGGUACGGAGACGAGCUGCUGUGGGGAGCACUUUGGCUGUACCGCGCCACAGGGGAUGAGGCAUACCUGACUAAGGCUCAAGAAGCGUGGGAUGAGUUCAGCUUGGGCGAAAAAGCCGAGCAAUUUUCAUGGGAUGACAAGAAACCCGGUGCUUAUGCUCUUGGCUCAAUGGUGGACAGCACCAACACCAAGUACGCAGCGGCCCUGAAGGAGUUUUUGCGUCACGUGCGCGAAGACUCCAAAUACACGCCUGACGGUCUCGUCUUUCUCGACGUGUGGGGAGCCAACCGACACGCUGCCAAUGUUGCCUUCCUCGCCCUUUGGGCGUCCAAAUACGGCGAUCCCGCUGACGAGGCCAUCAACCUUUUGUGGGCUGUCAGUCAGAUAAACUACAUUCUCGGGGACACCGGCCACUCUUUCGUGGUGGGCUUUGGUGUUAAUCCUCCGCAACGUCCCCACCACCGCUCCAGCUCGUGUCCCAUCCCUCCCGACUCGUGUUUCCUCAACAGCUGGGGACAGACUCAGCCAGGACCGAACCCACACAUCCUUUAUGGUGCCCUGGUUGGAGGUCCCGCAGAGGACGGCACCUACGAGGACGACCGCGAGGACUACGUGCACAACGAGGUGGCUUGUGACUAUAACGCCGCCUACACUGGUGCUCUGGCGGCCAUUAUUGAAAGAAACAACUAGAAGGACGAAAUUCUCUCUCUCUCUCUCUCUCUCUCUCUCUCUCUCUCUCUCUCUCUCUCUCUCUCUCUCUCUCUCUCUCU